AAGUCGUAACAAGGUUUCCAUGGAACAAGUCUUGCAGGAAUGAUUCCUUCCGCAGUGUACACUUGUAGAAGCCUUUGCAGCCACGCAAGUGGUAGAUCUGGGCGACUUUAAACAAUCCCAGUAUCGCUAUGCAAGUCGGCCCGGUGCCGGCGACACUUUCGAAUUGACGGGGACGCCCUAAAGCCUGUCGCACCAAUCUGUGUGGGAAACCGCCCGGGGCCCGUGCUAACUACACGGGGUGGUAACAGACGACAUGGAUAUUUUCACGCCUUUGGUGUGUAUGCUAUGGGUAAUCCGCAGCGAAGCCUCUAAGUCCGGCCCGUCGGAUAUGAGGAACGUUCACAGACUAAGUGGAAGUGGGUGGAGCGUUUGCCGCUCUGCUUAAGAUAUAGUCGGUCCCCUUAGGAAACUAAGGGGGGUGAGUACACUGCUUGAAAUUUAUAUACGAACGUGCGUAAUCACAAGUUGAUUGAUUGAUUGCUCACCUACGCCAGCAGCACACCUUUCCUAAAUCUUUGGAGUUAAGGAAGGUGCGUUUAUAUUAAAAUUUUCAAGACUGCCAAUUGCCUCGCGGUUUGACAGCUCUUAAAACGUUCCGUAGGUGAACCUGCGGAAGGAUCAUUACAGAAAGUAACGCGGGUCAAACCGCGAACUUCCAAAACCUCUGACGUUGACUCACGUUGCCUCGGCGGGUUCGCCCCGCCCAGAGGAUACAUCAAAACUCCUGUUUUAACGGUGUUGUCUGAGCUACAAGCAACGAAUCAAAA
rnacentral:misc_RNA from 1 species